GAGGUGGGUCGGGCAAUCGCGGUGGCGCAAGCCAUCGAGGAAGGUCUGGACUCCACAGGGCGGGAUAGCGGCUAACGGCCGUCCGGCGAACUGGCGGCUUGUCCGUCAGCGAAGCCGAGGAACAGGGCCACAGAGACGAGUCUGCGGAGCGGGCGCGAAAGCGCACCGGCACGGCCAUCUCCGUGCUGAGCCGUCCGGCAACGGGCGGCGGCGUCGCAGGGUGAAACGCGGCAACCUCUAUCCGGAGCAACAUCAAAUAGGCAUGCGUACGGUCUUCGGACCGGGAAGGGCGGCUCCGUCCGAGCAUGCGGGUAGGUGGCAUGAGCGCGUCAGCAAUGGCGCGCCUAGAGGAAUGAUUGCCCGCCGGGGUCACCCGGCGUACAAAAUCCGGCCUAUAGACUCACCUCGCAA
rnacentral:RNase_P_RNA from 1 species